CUCUCGGUAGCCAAGUUGGUUUAAGGCGCAAGACUGUAAUUUGUAUAAACGAAAUCUUGAGAUCGGGCGUUCGACUCGCCCCCGGGAGA
rnacentral:tRNA from 1 species